UGAAAAAUUGUCCUGGUAGAAUCUUGGGAUAUAUUGCGAUAUGUAUUGUAUCGUGAAACAUGUAUCGCAAUAUGUGUAGCAUUGCCUGACUCUUGCCAAAACAUACCCCUAUAAAUCAUACCUCUUAUUUUAUCAAUUUAAAACUUUUUACAGCUCACUUUAUUUGAAAUAGUUUAAAAACAUAUUCUUUUUUUCUGUUCAAUGUGAUUCAAGUGGAGUCCUGGAUUAAAUUACAUUGUAAAUCAGAGACGUAUGGCAUCAACUGGUGCAAAUACAGCCUUAUAGCAAACAGUAAGACAUGUAUGGAAGCCCUGAAGUGUCAAAAACAUUAUUAAAAUAAGUAGCUGGGUUGACCCCAGUAACCCUGUGACCCCAAAAGGGAUUCAAUGAGAGCAGAAAUUUGACAUUUUCUUAGAAAUUGUAUAGUUUGAAGGGGAAAUUAGACAUUUAUUUUCAGAUUUCGUGAUUUUUAGCUAAUGUGUCAACACGAUUCAGUCAUUUCCUAAACCUACUCUUUCCUGUUCAGAGUCCCUGGAUGAUGGAGCCAAUGCAGCGACUGCUGGGCGGUGGCGAGGGAUACCCUCUACAGUUGACCCGUCCAUCACAGGGAAACCCAGAGAGAACAGAAUCCAGUAUUGUGUUUGCCAGAAAUGGAUACCCCUGUUGACCUCUCCCCUCCACCACCCAGUCAGGUCCGCGUGGAAGCCCUUUCUGUGGACCGUCAGCAAGUAGCCGGUCCUUGUGCUGAGCUCUUGUGAUCUAACAGCUAUAAAAUGUCAAAUAAAACUUAUGGAUAGCAAUUGCCAGAGAGCAGAAGCCCAUGGAUCACAAUGGAUCAUUGUUAUGGAAUGGAUGAUGUCAUAAAUGUGCUGGGAUCCUCCUCAUAUUCUCCUUUAUUUUAGGGAGAAAAUCCCUUCUUUUGGUUUAUUUCAAUGUGUCGUUGGUCUGAUGAUCUCGAAAAAACAUCACAAACGUGUAGAAGCUUUAAAAAAAUUUGCAUCUGCUGCUCAUUUACUGUUGAAAUCCAGAGCAACAAAAGUCAAAUGUUUUCAUGCUCUUUGUUGACACAAGUUUUAUAAAUGAAUGACACCUGAAGCCUCAAAGUAAAGAUAAAAUAUGACUCCGCACAAAUCCUCCGUUUAAGAACUACUAAAUAAUUUUAAAGGUUCCCACACCAGCAGUGAAUCAUUGUGGUCUCGCUUUUUUUUUUUUUUUGCAAGCUAAGUAAUAAUUUGAUUUGUUGUUCUGAUAUGACUAUGUGUGCGUAAUAAGUCACUCACAGAAUCUUUGGAAGGUAGUAAUUAAGUCGAUCAGUCAUAAAUCUCACCUGUAAAAUUCAUGUUAAAAGCAUCCUGCAGCAGAGGCUAAAAGGCUUCAGCUUUUUUCUCCUCUGAGUCAUAAAUCAUGUUUUGAAGUGUUCUGCGGUUUUCAAUGCUUUCUGUUGAAAUGUUAAAAGUAGGAAAGUAUUUACGCAGCUUUAAUCUGAACAAAGAGGCUUUUCACUGCGUGCACACAUAUCGGCAGGUUCACUGCAAAUGAACCAAAACAGUUUGGCCAAGGAUAUUUUACGAGAACAAUGAAGGAGAACUAAAAGUUUAUGAAACUAAAACUUUAAGUUUUCAGUAUCAGGUUCACAGCUUGUACAGGUUUAAAGGCUUGACAGUUUUUUGCAGUUGUUUGGUGCCAUCUAGUGGCACAAAUUGCAGACUGCAACAAACUAAAAGAUGGCACUUGACAUCGUUGGCCGUAAGCGGAUGUUAUGCGACAUAAGUGUCUAGAAUUGUAAGAAAAAAAAAAAA